UUUCCUUUUUAGUGGCACAAAAUUAUUGUUGUAUUAUAAUAUUACAACAAUAAUUUUGUGCCACUAAAAAGGAGGU
rfam:Pongo abelii chromosome 13.